rnacentral:rRNA from 1 species
AACGAACGCUGGCGGCAUGUCUAACACAUGCAAGUCGAACGAGACCUUCGGGUCUAGUGGCGCACGGGUGCGUAACGCGUGGGAACCUGCCCUUAGGUUCGGAAUAACUCCCCGAAAGGGGUGCUAAUACCGGAUAAUGUCUUCGGACCAAAGAUUUAUCGCCUUUGGAUGAGCCCGCGUUGGAUUAGCUAGUUGGUAGGGUAAAAGCCUACCAAGGCGACGAUCCAUAGCUGGUCUGAGAGGAUGAUCAGCCACACUGGGACUGAGACACGGCCCAGACUCCUACGGGAGGCAGCAGUGGGGAAUAUUGGACAAUGGGCGAAAGCCUGAUCCAGCAAUGCCGCGUGAGUGAUGAAGGCCUUAGGGUUGUAAAGCUCUUUUACCCGGGAUGAUAAUGACAGUACCGGGAGAAUAAGCUCCGGCUAACUCCGUG